AGCCACUCGGCAUCCCAAGAGGGGUCCCUGAGAUUCGAAACCUGGCUGUUCGGACUCCAGCCAAAAAAAAUCCUCUCUCUGGGUUCAACCAAUUGAGGGAGGCUUCACUGCUGGUCUUCUAAGAGGGAGUUGGAUUCAGUGAGCCAUAAAGGGCCCCACGGUGUGACUUUAGGGGCAAGCUAUGAUUCUAGAAUGUGUGUGUGUGUGUGUGUGUGUGUGUGUGCGUGCACGCUUUCCGGGUCUGGGUACACAGGCUAGGAUGGACCCUGAGCCCCAGCCACAAGCUAGGGUGGACCCUCUCUGCAGAGGCCCCUAACAGCUGAGGGGUCCCGCCCAUCAGUCCCACACACUGGGUUCUCACUCCCCAGCUAUCACAGCCCCACCCAGGCCCUCACCCCAGGGUGCAGAGGGAGGUGAGAGGUACCCCCAACCGGCCAGAAGCCAGGAGGAAGGGCUGGUCUGUACUCAGUGAGGAAGUCCCAGAUCUCUAAAGUCGUUUCCAGCAGCCCCCAGACCUUCAAGGAGCUCUGCAGGUGCCAGAGCAGGGACCCCAGGUCAGCGCCCCCACCCUUUUUACCUGGGCCCGGGUCUCCUGCAGCUGCUUCAGCUCCCCCUGCAGCCGCUCACACUCAGCCUGGAGCUGCUCCUCCCGAAGCUGAGCCCCCCGGGCCUCUCCCUGGGCAGCCUCCAGAGCCUCUUCUAGCUGCCGCCGCUCCAGCUCACUCAUACUCGGCGUGGGCCCUGGCCAGCCUGCCGGUAGAGGAAAGGACAAUGUCAGGCUGGAACCAGCUGCUGGACACCCUCCACCCACUCCCAGAUCAAUACAAAGUGAAACAGGGGAAACCAAAAUAUUGGCAUGACUCACUUUAUCGAGAUAUUCACUUUAUUGUGGUGGUCUGCAAUGGAACCUGCAGUAUCUCUGAGGAUGGUGAUAGGCUGCCUCUCUGCAUCCAGAGCUCAGGCUGGGCACCAAAGCCGAGACGUACUUUGCUUUCAAACAAGAAGGUAUGUUUCACACACACAGCUAAGCUCAGGAACUUAUGGCUUAGGAGCACCUGUGAGAGGAAACAGUUCAGGCCUCCUACCCGCACUGCACUGCCCAGGGUCGGCUGACAGCGCAGGGGUAAUUCAGACAUGGAGCUUACUCAGCAGGCUGUGGCCUUUUGGGCCACUAGGCACCAGCAUCCACCCUGCCCCCCAGCCUGGUUCCCAAAAGCUUCUGGCUCAGAGGGAAGAUGAAGCAGAAAUGCAGGGAGACGACUCAAAUCCCAGUUGGGAGGAGAGCUGGCUUUAGGGAAGUAUGCCACCUCCCAGCAAUCCUUAAAUUGAGUCUGAUGGUUGACAAAGGUUAACAAUGGAUGUCACUAUAGAAUUACCGCAAAAUGACUUUGCCAUUUAAUUCCAAAGCCCCUUCAUCCAGGGCUCUCCCUGCUUGUUACCUGGAAGCUUGCUGGGAGCAGAGGCUCAUCUGCUCAUCCUCUAACCCUGCAUAGCACACAGUCUGCAACAGCCCAGCAGGACAAGCACAGCCUAUGGAGUCGGGACUGCUUGGCUAGCCCACGUGAUUUUGGCAAGAUUCUUGCCCCUUCUGUGCUUCUCCUCUCUCAUCUGUCAACUGGGACUAAAAUGGUGCUUUUGUUAAAGGGUUGAUGAGGGUUACUUUCAUUAUUCUAUAUAAGACGCUUAUUACAAGCCUGGCAGCUGGUAAUACAUAAAAUCAACACUGUAUGUCUAAUUAUUGAUUAAUCCUGUUCCCAUUCCUCCAGUUAACCCAAGGUUAAGAGGCUAGCCUGAAGUCAUCCAGCAAACGAGGAGGGUAAGAGUUAGGUGCCCAAGUGUCUUGAGGCUCUGCCAUUCCCAGGUUUCUGGAUGUUCUGCCCCUCAAAGGCUAAGUGAUGCCAUUUCAGAAACUCCCUGAACUGUACUGACACGUCAUUAGUUCAACAAAUACUUACUGAGGGUCUCCUGUAUGUCAGGCACUGCUCUAAGCUGGGGAAAGACAGUCAAGGUCACCAAAUUUGGGAGCUUUCAUUAUAGUUGGGAAAACUGGCAAUAAAUAAGCAACAAAUAUACCUUUAGACAGUGUUGUGAAGGAAACGCAUGGCACAGCACAAAUAUGUACAGCAUGGAUCCUUGUUUUGUAUUACUAAGAUACCGACAGCAUCUGUCUAGGACAAAUGUGAGGAAAGCUUGGGUUUUGGUAUGACAGAACUGGGUUUGAAUUCGAGCUCCAUGUGACCUUGGUCUGAUAAAUUAAUCUUUCUGCUCCUCAUUCCUAUAUAUUCCCCUAUACGGAACUCUGUUAAGGUUGCUGUGGGAAUUAAGAUAUAAUACACAUAAAAUCUUCUCAGUGUUUACUGUUUUUUCACAUCAGACAGGUCAAGCUGGAAUCCUUGAUGAGGCCAGGUGGAACUGUAGCCUUGUACUGUAUGUACUUUUUCAGUGUUUGUUGAGGAGGUGGGUAUAUGGGAACAGGGAAUUACCUGGAGGGCUGCUGGAAAAAAAAUUCUUAGGAGAAGCAGUUCUUCCUUACCAUUUGAUAAUGAACCGAUACCAUUCUUUCCUCUAAGUAUACCUUCAAUGGAGGAAUAUUUAACGCAGUCUAGUCAAGAAUUACAAGUUACCCUCUAUAACCCAGUAACCUCCAAAUUUGGGUACAGAAAGAAAAUAUUAGAACUCCUAUUUAUAUUUAUUUUUCAUAUAAUUGCUUUUUAAUUAUCUAUUUUUGUGUCUUGUUACACAAUAUAUGGGUACAGUAGUACAGGUAUAUAAUUUAUCAACACAUGGGGGUACGCAUGAUCAAAAAUUCCUUACUGCAGGGGUGUGCAAUUAGAAAUGGUGAAAGGCCACAUGGAGGCUAAGGUAGGAAAAUGAAGGUCUGCCCUCAUUUUACUUGCCCAACAUAAACUAAGAAAGUGCAUUUUUUCAUAAAGUAGCCUGCAGGCAUCUCGCUGCACUAAUAAACAGCAGGGUGAAGGGAAGGACCCAGUUUCUUAAUCUCAAGUCAGUGUUCUAUCCUCUACAAGUCUCUAGGGGGGGAAAAGUGGAAGCAGAAAUUAAAUACACGCUGCAAACUAAGUAAAAAUCCAACCUUUGGAUAAGCCAUUAAAUAGACGAGAUCAUUAGGCUGCAAAAUAUGCACAAGACAGAGGACAAUCUCCAGCAGCUUCAGAUCUCUCUGGACAGGAAACCUCCACAUAGUCAUUUUUCACUACCUCAUUUGUAGAAAACUUUCAUUCAUUUCCCAUUGUACUACGUAGAGCUAAUUUUUAAGACAGAUGUGUCCUUCCUCUCCCCAACUCACACAUCUAUCACCACACGCACCAGCUUCUUUCAAACAACUCAUUUCACCUCCAAGGAGGUGACACCGUCUGGAACCAAAAAUGAAGCGGCAAAAUGUUGAAAAUAAAAAUAAAGUGGACUUUAUUUAGAAGAUAAAGGUGGUGGUAUCAGUUUUGGUUAAUAAAGUUGGGCUCAAGUGUUUUAACAGGUCUUUACUGCCAUCACAGACUGGCAUGCCAAGGGCAUUCUGAAUGCCAAUUACAGACUGAAGUUGUUUCAAAAUCCAAGAUGCUGUCAAAAUCUGAUGAUGGAGCUUGGAUUUGGAUUUUUUUCUUAAAGUUGGACUGACACAUUUCUUAUAUAUGAGUGACUAGAUUACUUGGUUCUGAAAAUGAAAACACUACACUGAGCAGUUCCCCUCCUCCACAAGUCCGUAAGGCAAUGUUGCAGUUGCCUCUGACAGCC